rnacentral:tRNA from 1 species
GACCCUGUGGCGCAAUGGAUAGCGCGUAGCGCUGCGGACGCUAAGGUUGGCAGUUCGAGUCUGCCCAGGGUCA